CCUACGGGAGGCAGCAGUGGGGAAUCUUGGACAAUGGGGGCAACCCUGAUCCAGCGACGCCGCGUGGGUGACGAAGGCCUUCGGGUCGUAAAGCCCUUUUGCCGGGGAAGAUGAUGACGGUACCCGGAGAAGAAGCACCGGCUAACUCUGUGCCAGCAGCCGCGGUAAGACAGAGGGUGCUAGCGUUGUUCGGAAUUACUGGGCGUAAAGGGCGCGUAGGCGGCCCGUUUAGUCGGGUGUGAAAUCCCAAGGCUCAACCUUGGAACUGCAUUCGAUACUGGCGGGCUUGAGACCGGAAGAGGUGGGUGGAAUACCCAGUGUAGAGGUGAAAUUCGUAGAUAUUGGGUGGAACACCGGUGGCGAAGGCGGCUCACUGGUCCGGUUCUGACGCUGAGGCGCGAAAGCGUGGGGAGCAAACAGGAUUAGAUACCCCAGUAGUC
rnacentral:rRNA from 1 species